rnacentral:rRNA from 1 species
GAUGAACGCUAGCGGCAGGCCUAACACAUGCAAGUCGAACGGUAACAUUGGUUGCUUGCAACCAGAUGACGAGUGGCGCACGGGUGCGGAACGCGUAUCGAACCUGCCCCCUUCAGGAGGAUAGCCCAUGGAAACGUGGAUUAAUACUCCAUAGUAACAUGAUGUUGCAUGACAUUGUGUUUAAAGAUUUAUCGGAAGGGGAUGGCGAUGCGUACCAUUAGCUAGUUGGUAAGGUAACGGCUUACCAAGGCAACGAUGGUUAGGGGCCCUGAGAGGGGGAUCCCCCACACUGGUACUGAGACACGGACCAGACUCCUACGGGAGGCAGCAGUGAGGAAUAUUGGACAAUGGUGGGAACACUGAUCCAGCCAUGCCGCGUGCAGGAUGACUGCCCCUAUGGGUUUGUAAAACUGCUUUUAUACGGGAAGAAACCCGGGUACGUGUACCCGGCUGACGGUACCGUAAGAAUAAGGACCGGCUAACUCCGUGCCAGCCGCCGCGGUAA